GAGUCGGCGAGGCAGUUGCGUACCGAUUUGGUAUGAGGAAAGUCCGAGCAGCACAGAGCAGGAUAACGGCUAACGGCCGCCGAGGGUGACCUUAGGGAAAGUGCAACAGAAAUAAACCGCCUCGUAUGAGGUAAGGGUGGAAAGGCGAGGUAAGAGCUCACCGAGGAGGUGGAGACAUCUCCUGCCAUGUAAACCCUAUCCGCUGCAACAUCGACUAAAGGGUUGUUUGCUCGACACAUAACUUUGAAGGAUGGCUUGAGCGCAGGAGCAAUUCUGCGAGUAGAUAGAUAACUGCCGUAUACAGAACUCGGCUUAUUGCCGAC
rnacentral:RNase_P_RNA from 1 species